rnacentral:rRNA from 1 species
UUACGGGAGGCAGCAGUGGGGAAUCUUGCACAAUGGGGGAAACCCUGAUGCAGCGACGCCGCGUGAGCGAUGAAGCCCUUCGGGGUGUAAAGCUCUUUCGUCAGGGAAGAUGAUGACGGUACCUGGAGAAGCAGCUGCGGCUAACUACGUGCCAGCAGCCGCGGUAAUACGUAGGCAGCAAGCGUUGUUCGGAGUUACUGGGCGUAAAGGGUGUGUAGGCGGUUCUUUAAGUUUGGUGUGAAAUCUCCCGGCUCAACCGGGAGGGUGCGCCGAAUACUGAGGGACUCGAGUGCGGGAGAGGAAAGUGGAAUUCCUGGUGUAGCGGUGAAAUGCGUAGAUAUCAGGAGGAACACCGGUGGUGUAGACGGCUUUCUGGACCGUAACUGACGCUGAGACACGAAAGCGUGGGUAGCAAACAGGAUUAGAUACCCUUGUAC